rnacentral:lncRNA from 1 species
CUUCAUCUGUAAAGAGAGGCAGUUGGACUAGAUGAUCUCUAGUUCAGAAAAUAUGAUUUUAAGAGAUGGAACAUGACAAGUCUGAGAAAAGUCAAGAACAAACCUAGAAAGGGUCAGAACAGAACAGACCGCGGGCCUGGAGCAUUUCUGGAAGACAGCGGUGGUCAGAGAGAGAGACCCCAUAAAGAAGAAAAUGAGGGUUGGCAGCCAUCUCUUCCCAGAAGAGCUAAGAGUGAUGAUUCAUAGGCUGGAUAUACCCACAGUCAUCAUCAUGUACCUUCCACCUCUGGGAAUGACUCAAUCUUAACUACCUAAGAGAAAUUAAAGAGUCCAAGGUGCUCAGACCCUGACCUCAGUCACUCGGCGGACCAACGUGG